UUCCGGUUGAUCCUGCCGGACCUGACUGCUAUCGGAUUGAUACUAAGCCAUGCGAGUCAUUGUGGCAAUACAAGGCAGACGGCUCAGUAACGCGUAGUCAACCUACCCUAUGGACGGGAAUAACCUCGGGAAACUGAGAAUAAUGCCCGAUAGAACAUUAUGCCUGGAAUGGUUUAUGUUCCAAAUGAUUUAUCGCCGUAGGAUGGGACUGCGGCCUAUCAGUUUGUUGGUGAGGUAAUGGCCCACCAAGACUAUUACAGGUACGGGCUCUGAGAGGAGUAGCCCGGAGAUGGGUACUGGGACACGGACCCAGGCCCUAUGGGGCGCAGCAGGCGAGAAAACUUUGCAAUGUGCGAAAGCACGACAAGGUUAAUCCGAGUGGUUUCUGCUAAAGGAACCUUUUGACAGUCCUAGAAACACUGUUGAAUAAGGGGUGGGCAAGUUCUGGUGUCAGCCGCCGCGGUAAAACCAGCACCUCAAGUGGUCAGGAUGAUUAUUGGGCCUAAAGCAUCCGUAGCCGGCUCUGUUAGUUUUCGGUUAAAUCUGUACGCUCAACGUACAGGCUGCCGGAAAUACUGCAGAGCUAGGGAGUGGGAGAGGUAGACGGUACUCGGUAGGAAGGGGUAAAAUCCUUUGAUCUAUUGAUGACCACCUGUGGCGAAGGCGGUCUACCAGAACACGUCCGACGGUGAGGGAUGAAAGCUGGGGGAGCAAACCGGAUUAGAUACCCGGGUAGUCCCAGCUGUAAACUAUGCAAACUCAGUGAUGCAUUGGCUUGUGGCCAAUGCAGUGCUGCAGGGAAGCCGUUAAGUUUGCCGCCUGGGAAGUACGUACGCAAGUAUGAAACUUAAAGGAAUUGGCGGGGCAGCAC
rnacentral:rRNA from 1 species